rnacentral:rRNA from 1 species
CAGCCGCCGCGGUAAUACGAAGGGGGCUAGCGUUGUUCGGAUUUACCGGGCGUAAAGGGCGCGUAGGCGGACUGAUAAGUCAGGGGUGAAAUCCCAAGGCUCAACCUUGGAACUGCCUUUGAUACUGUUUGUCUUGAGUUCGAGAGAGGUAAGUGGAACUGCGAGUGUAGAGGUGAAAUUCGUAGAUAUUCGCAAGAACACCAGUGGCGAAGGCGGCUUACUGGCUCGAAACUGACGCUGAGGCGCGAAAGCGUGGGGAGCAAACAGGAUUAGAUACCCCCGUAGUCCCUGUCUCUUAUAC